CUGAGCCGAAGGCAGAUGCUUAACCGCUGUGCCACCCAGGAGCCCCUGUUGCCCUGUUUCUAGAAGAUGGCCAGCCAAUGGUUUCAAAUCUUCUGUGUUAGGACAAGUUCACCAGAAGGCCAUCUCGGGGGAAAGAGUCCUGGAGUGGAAUCCACCCUCAUGUCACCCAGUGAUGCAGCACCACCCAUACCAGACAGAAUGUGACGGUCAGUCUCCAAGCUCUACACACCAUUCUCCGGAAGUCAAUCCUACCAGGAGAACAGGAAGCGCUGGUCGUGCUGCUCCCCGUCAGUCCCUGAGUUGCAAUUUUUUGCUCUCCAAGUUCCCCAUCCUGACGCCUCCUUAACUGGCUUUGUCUCCUUCCAGUACCCAUACAUCCUGGGCUUCUGAGUUAGCCACAUUCCCUUUGGUCCUGUUUUGAGAACCUUGCCCAUCCGAGAACUGGCUGCUGGCUUACUUUUGUCCGUUGAUGUCUCUAGGGUCUGCAUCCUUGAGUGAUGGGCGGGACCAAGAAACCUCCACGUGGUCCACCUUCAGAUGCAGACUACAUCUGUUUUGGAUUCUCAUACUCUUCUCCCCCCAGUGGGAUCAUUCCUGCUUUUUGAACUAUGUCACUGUAAUUCCUUUAUUCUAUCAUAAUUGGACACCAACUCUUUGAAACACAUUAUUGCCUUGGGGUGAAGAGCAGGAUAAGAAUGACGGAGAUUUUUAUCUCUAAAAAAUAUAAGUCAGAUCAUCUCUCUCUCUUGCUUCAAAUCUUCUAAAGGCUUUACAUCACACUUAGAAUAAAAUCUCAACUCUUUUCCAUGGCUUGCAAAGAUCAACAUAAUGUGGCCACUGCCUACUUCUCUUCUUAAACAAGUCAGACUUGUUCCUGCCUCAAGGCCUUUGAACUUGCCUGCUCUCUUCCCUUAGAUCUUCACAUUUCUGGAUUUUUCACUUCAUGCAAGUUUCAGUUUAAGUGUAACCUCUAGGAAGAAACCUUCCCGACUACCCUGUCUAAAUCAGCCCUCUUCGCCGCUGCUCAGCCCUCAUCAAUACGGUGUUUUUUCAGUCUUCCUAGCACUUAAUAAAUGCCCUCAAGAAUAUUGUGUGUAUUUAUUUGCUUCCCUUGUU